rnacentral:rRNA from 1 species
GAUGAACGCUAGCGGCAGGCCUAAUACAUGCAAGUUGAACGGUAAGGCUCCUUCGGGAGUACACGAGUGGCGGACGGGUGCGUAACGCGUAUACAACCUACCCUUCAGCGGGGGAUAGCCUGAAGAAAUUCAGAUUAAUACCGCAUAAUACAUUUGAAUCGCAUGGUUUAAAUGUUAAAGAUUUAUCACUGAAGGAUGGGUAUGCGUGACAUUAGCUAGUUGGUGAGGUAACUGCUCACCAAGGCAACGAUGUCUAGCUGGUCUGAGAGGAUGAUCAGCCACACUGGGACUGAGACACGGCCCAG